rnacentral:rRNA from 1 species
UCGAACGGCAGCGCGAGGAGCUUGCUCCUUGGCGGCGAGUGGCGGACGGGUGAGUAAUGCGUAGGAAUCUACCUUGUAGUGGGGGACAACCUGAGGAAACUCGGGCUAAUACCGCAUAAUCUCUACGGAGCAAAGCGGGGGACCUUCGGGCCUCGCGCUACUAGAUGAGCCUACGUCGGAUUAGCUUGUUGGUAGGGUAAAGGCCUACCAAGGCAACGGUCCGUAGCUGGUCUGAGAGGACGAUCAGCCACACUGGGACUGAGACACGGCCCAGACUCCUACGGGAGGCAGCAGUGGGGAAUAUUGGACAAUGGGCGCAAGCCUGAUCCAGCAAUGCCGCGUGUGUGAAGAAGGCCUUAGGGUUGUAAAGCACUUUCAGUAGGGAAGAAAAGCUCAAGGUUAAUAGCCUUGGGUCUUGACGUUACCUACAGAAGAAGCACUGGCUAACUCUGUGCCAGCAGCCGCGGUAAUACAGAGAGUGCAAGCGUUAAUCGGAAUUACUGGGCGUAAAGCGCGCGUAGGUGGAUGUUUAAGUCGGAUGUGAAAGCCCCGGGCUCAACCUGGGAACUGCAUUCGAUACUGGGCAUCUAGAGUAUGGUGGAGGGAAGUGGAAUUUCCGGUGUAGCGGUGAAAUGCGUAGAUAUCGGA